CGCAUCUGUGCAUGCAGCAUAUCAAUAAGCGGAGGAAAAGAAACUAACAAGGAUUCCCUAGUGACGGCGAGUGAAGCGGGAAGAGCUCAAAUUUGAAAUCUUAAAGGUUUUCCCUUGACGAAUUGUAGUUUAAAGAAGUGUUUUCUGUUGAAGUUUUGGUAAAAGUUCUUUGGAAUAGGACAUCAUAGAGGGUGAGAAUCCCGUAUUUGACCUUUACUUUCAACUUUGUGAUACACUUUCAAAGAGUCGGAUUGUUUGGGAAUGCAGUCCAAAAUGGGUGGUAAAUUUCAGUCUAAAGCUAAAUAUUGGCGAGAGACCGAUAGCGAACAAGUACCGUGAGGGAAAGAUGAAAAGAACUUUGAAAAGAGAGUUAAACAGUACGUGAAAUUGUCAAAAGGGAAGCGUUUGACACCAGUGUUGUUUUUCUGAAAAUCAAUUAAAGAACUGUUUAUGCUAAGUCUGUUUAGACUUUAUCAGCUAACUGUUUAGUUUUGAGCUUUUCUUUAAUGCACUUUUCAGUUAACAAGUCAACAUCAAUUUCUUUUGCUGUAAAAAAGCUUGAGGAAGGUGGCUUGAGAUUCGUCUUAAGUGUUUAUAGCCUCUUGCCUAUGCAGUCGGAGAGAUUGAGGUCUGCAGCGUAGAUCCUUCGGGGCUAAAUGCAUUUGUGCUAAGUUAUAGCAUUUUAUAGACAACUUGUUGACUAUGAUUUGUCUUGUAGCUUACUCGCUUAUGUUAUUUUACCUACGCUUAGGAUGUUGAUGUGAUACUGCGAGCA
rnacentral:rRNA from 1 species